UGACUGAGUGAAAGCUUAAAGAGUCUAUCUUCCUGUAAGUGAUGCCUCUUGGAGGGCACUACUCUGAACCUGCGGCCAUCGUGCUUUGUCUGCAUCACCAUGAACCCAGGUUAUGCUGGCCGCUCUGAACUACCAGACGGUGUUGUUUCAUACAGUGGCCAUAAUGCAUGGUGCCAGACUAUGCCAUGAUUGGAGAGAUCUCUCUCUACUCUUAUGGUUUUGUGGAUGCUCGUAAUCUGGCCGUCAAGAUUGUCAUGACCUAUCGACUGUGUUCAGAGCAACUCUCCAGCCAGCUCCAUUAUGACUACGGUGUGAGUGUGUGGUGCACUUUGACCCCUGCUAGCCGGUGCUAGUGGGGCCGGGGGAGGGGAAAAUGAGGUACAUAAGAGUUCCAAUAAAGAAGCAUCACUGGGCAAAGAGUCACAUGACCUCUCUCUGGGCUGGAGGUAGUUUCAGACCACACCCAUUUCCUGUUUUGAGGAGUACAACAGUGAUAAGGCGUGGGUUCAAUCAUAGAUUGAAGAGUUAGAGGGAUAGGAAACGGUUGGUAUCUCGAGUAACAUCCGCGCUACGCUGCGGUUUAAUCGAGGCCAUCACAACAAUAUCUAUUUCUACACUCAGUGCAUAAUAAACUACAAGUAACUGUGCUUAGUCCGUGCAACUCACUUAUAUUUCAAGGUCUAUACCUAUUGUAGUAGUCAUAACCAGCACGCUUACACGUUACAUGUUCCAAUAGCUCUAAAACAGCCUUGGGAACAUAUAACUUUAUUGGAAUUUCUCUUUUUACUGGGUGUGGUCAGUCAUUAGCAAGUACUACACGUGGCUCAUGGACUAGGCGUGUUAUAAGUUGCUGAAAGAGAUGAUGUCUCGAGGAAACACAGCUUUGGGAGUUACCCGGCAAAAAUGUGGUUAAUAGCCUCGUUCAUAGGGCGUAGCGCGGAUAAUUUUCGAGGCUCCACUGCAGAUUCAAUGUAAAAUCAUCACGUGCACCACUCCGUUUCCUAUCCCUCUAACUCUUCAAUCUAUGGUUCAAUUCCCUCUAGGGGGACUUUCUUUACAAAUCAGUUACAUGUAGUAAUUUCCCUAAAUUUUGAAGUCAUCAUUAUUCCUUCUCAAGUACAUACAAGUUGGGGUUACUGUGAAAUAAAGUUUCUACUUACCCUUUUUUGGUAGAUUGGUAGGUUGUGAUAGACGUAGAUGUUUUAGAUUUUAAAAUAGACUUUCCAUUUGGAAUUAAUUGUCCCAAGUAGAGUUUCAACUCUACUUGGGACAAUUAAUUUGAUAAAAGUGAAUUAUCAACCUCUCCCCU